rnacentral:rRNA from 1 species
GUGGGGAAUAUUGGACAAUGGGCGAAAGCCUGAUCCAGCCAUGCCGCGUGUGUGAAGAAGGUCUUCGGAUUGUAAAGCACUUUAAGUUGGGAGGAAGGGCAGUAAGUUAAUACCUUGCUGUUUUGACGUUACCAACAGAAUAAGCACCGGCUAACUUCGUGCCAGCAGCCGCGGUAAUACGAAGGGUGCAAGCGUUAAUCGGAAUUACUGGGCGUAAAGCGCGCGUAGGUGGUUUUGUAAGUUGGAAGUGAAAUCCCCUGGCUCAACCUGGGAACUGCCUCCAAAACUGCAUGACUAGAGUACGGUAGAGGGUAGUGGAAUUUCCUGUGUAGCGGUGAAAUGCGUAGAUAUAGGAAGGAACACCAGUGGCGAAGGCGACUACCUGGACUGAUACUGCCACUGAGGUGCGAAAGCGUGGGGAGCAAACAGGAUUAGAUACCCGUGUAGUCC